UCAAAUUGUGAUGGCCCACUUUAAUUUUACAUGUAUUACAGUCGACUGACAUCAACUCAGGCUGCAGCUUAGACCAUGGACAUCUGCUUGGCCUUUGGUGGUACUGACAUAGGGCCACUGACAUCAACAUAGACCCCGGUUGCAGCGGAACUUAGAACUUGUCAUGGAGCUUGGCAGCAACACAGAUCUAGACAUCAGAAUGGCCUGAUGUGACAGUAUAGGCCACUCAGAACAAUAUGGCCUCUGGUGGCAGUGUGGCUCAUGGUCAUCAAUAUAAAUACUCCUGGCAACACAAAUGACAGACAUCUAUAAGACCUUCAGGAGUAAUAUGGGCUAUGGACAUAAACAGACCCCAGCUGAAGUAGAACCAUGAACCCAGACAUGGCCACCACCAGAAGCAAAGACCUGGACAUCACCAUGACCUCAGACAGCAGUGCAGGCCUUUCACAUCUACAUGGCCCCUGGUGGCAGCAUGGCCCUACGUACAUCAAGAUGGCCUCAGGUUCAACAGAAGAUGGAAAACACUUUCAAGAUUCAGCAAACAAGAGGAGGUUCGUGGUCCCCCUCGCACCCACGAAUAACUGAAUCCCGCGGGACGGGAUAAGUGGCGCCCAACAUGGGGCUGGAAGGAGACAUUUUGCAGGGCAGAGGGCCUUCAUCAAAUUCCACCUAUGAUUGAAAAACAAGGAAAGAAAGCAAAUGUCUGGAACAUUGAGUUCCAAAGAGCAAAUUAAGUCAUAUCAACAACAAAGAUAUAAAAAUGAAAUGAAAACAAAUGAAGAGACAAGAACCCAAGCUCUGUGGCUAAGCUAAAACAACGUAUGGGAUCCCUGUGCUGCCUUGCCCCUAAGCCUCAUUUCAUAGAAGCCAAGCAGCUUAGACUGUAGCAGUGACUUCCUGUUUGCUCCUGGUGCCUGUCCAUCUACCAAGUCUGUCCUGCUAGCAUAUUGAAAGAAACCUCAGAUGUCUAGUAAACCAUGGGUUAAACCAACAAACUCAAUCUUCUAAAAUAAGACCAGCCUGCCAUUCAGGUGUAUCAGUCCUUGUGAGCCACUGGACCACUGGCAACAAUUUGGCGCCCAGACUGGAACCUGAAGAAGUUUAGGAGGACGCUGAGGGAACGCUGUUUUGUGUGGAGCUCCACGGAAGAAAAAGAAAAAGAAAAGGAUUGUAUCGGACAAUGAAGCAACAGGGGCUUGGUCUGUGUUUUUUCAGAAAAAGAAGUUGUAGCGAGAUGGCUGCCUGAGAGAUUAGUUCGUCAACUGGACACAGAUCCUGAAUCUUCUAGUCAGUCAACACCCUUUAGCCUGACUGCAGCAGGCAUGCAUCCCCGCCCCCAACAGCACACAGGUGGCAGUUACUAAUCUUCAUUGAAGAAGCAUUCCAGUACAUAUUGUGGCUUUGGUCUGAAUUGGGAGUAAGGUGUGCUAAUGAGGGCCUGACAGUCAAUGACUGGCACCCAGAUCUCAGAAUCAUAUCAAUCUAAGACAGGGGUACAUGCCAAGAGGCCGUGGCUAUUAAUAAUACACCACAGAGCCAUGUUUUGUGUAAAAUAAC
rnacentral:lncRNA from 1 species